AUGUUCAAAAAGGUGAGCAGACAUCUAGCUCUGUUCCAAAGAGAGACAGUAAUUAUGUGAAAUACAAAGAUCACCCCUCGGCUGGGCUUCUGGGGAGGUGUGUAGCCCAGGGAUUAAGAAUGUGGUGGUGGGACCCUAGCUUGACCCUUGAUAUCCAGGUGACCCUGGGUGAACCAAGGCAGCAGGGCCCCAUCGCUUCCUCACUCUGUGAUGUGCAAAGAACAGUUAAAUCCUUCCUCAGAGGGCUGAUGGAGAGUGGAACAAGCUUACAGAUAGAAGCAUCUGGAAUAGCCAUGACACAUUGUCUGCACUCAUUGCUGUAGGUCAGGGCUGGGCUGCCCUUCACUGGAGUGGAGGCUCUGGAGGCAAGCCCCUCCCCCCCACCCCCCUCGGGGCUUCCCUGGAUGCUCCCAGACCCAGCACCGUGUGUUAGGGGAAGGGUUUUUAUAAAUACCUGUUGAGUAAAUGGGGAUGACUCCCGGCGUUGGGGGCAGGUUGGAAUAAGUUGUCAGAGGAUAAAGGAGAGAAACACAUUGGCUUGGGGAAUUGAGUCAUUUCCAUUUUAUUGUCAGUGGUGGUUUCUUAAAUGAAACAGUCCCACAACCACUCGUGUCCACCCUGGCUGAACCCAUGAAAAGCGGUGCUGCUCCCAAUGCCAGACAAUGAGUCAGGAUGGAGGGGAACGUGAUCCGUAACCUCAGUAAUGACAGGACGCCCACAUACAAUUAUAACAGCAACUGCGGAUGGGUGUGGGAGAGACAGCCACUGCUUUAAAAGUCCCUUGCCCUGGCUCUUGCCUUUCUGGUGUCACCAGAGCCCGGCGGCCUUGUCACUGAAUUCUGUGCAUCUUGCAGGAAAGGGUUAGCCUGGCAGAAGGAGCCUGGCUCCGAGGAAGAGAAAGAAAGACAGCUGAGGGCUUAAAUGACCCAGAGUCAAACCUGGUCCUCCACCCCUGCGGUGGAGGAGGCCUUGUGUUUGGUGUGGACCCACACCUCUGGCCUCCCCUGGCUGCUAGACAAGGUGAGACUCAACACAUCUGACCUUGGCACAGAGGGUGUGAUGAGCGCCACCGCCCCCCCCAACAAGUAAGGUGGGCUCCCGACUACAGUGUGAGAUGUGCUUUGUACCUGACUGCCCCUGAGUCUGUCUCUACCCCCACCACCCCCCUACUCCCCACACCCCCCGUGCGCAUGUGGGGCGGGGGUGGAGGGACACUACUUGGCAUGUUGGGUGGCUGGUCUCAUCCUGAGCCUGAAGCAGGUAGAAAUGGUCCCUCUCACUCGUUUCCCAAGAGGCUUUCCAGGGUCAUCUCGGUCAGGACCCCUGUACUGAGAUGCUGCUGGGAAGCUGGGCAGGGAUCAUUGUCCCUGUGGGUGAAAAUGGGGCUCUCCAUCUGCAGGGUACACAUUGUGUCUCAACUUCUCCUCCACCGUGGCCACCUUGCGUGAAUGAGCCUAGUGUAUACUUUAGUUUGGAUUCCCCCAGAGCCAAAUACUGAGGGAAGGUUCAAGAGCAAUUGGAUUAUCUGGGAGGUGAGCCCAGGCAUGGCUGCUUAGGAGGGAGAAAGGAUUUGGGGAGGGGAGGGAACCAGGACAGCGGGUAUUCAUUCGAGUUGGAACCAGGACACGCACCCACCAACUCCCAGGGCCAUUCAGGGCUGCUCCUGGGGGUGUUAAGGUACCAGCACAUCCAGCCUCCCUCUACAGCCUCAGGCAGAAAAUCCAGAGCAAAAAGCCUUGGAUGGCACUGGCAAGCACCAGGGAUAUAUGGGCAGAAUAGCAGCAGUACCUGAUACAUUUUCCUGGGAGAAAGGUUUAAGCAACCCAAGUGUCCAUGGACAGAUGAAUGAAUAGGCAAAAGGGGGAUGUCUGUACCAUGGAGUACUAUUCAGCCCUAAAAAAGAAGGAAUAUGCUAACACAUGGAUGACCCUUGAAGGUGUUCUGCUAAGUGAAAUAAGCCUGUCACUGAAGGAAAAAUAGUGUAUGAUUCCUCUCGUAUGAGGUGCUAGAACAGACAAAAUCAUAGAAAGUUCCUGGUGCUUGCCAGGAACUGGGGGGACAAGAGGGAAUUGGGGUGUAAUGGUACAGAAAAUGAUUCAAGGAGUUCCCGUCGUGGCGCAGUGGUUAACGAAUACGACUAGGAACCAUAAGGUUGCGGGUUCAACCCCUGGCCUUGCUCAGUAGGUUAAGGAUCCGGCGUUGCCGUGAGCUGUGGUGUGGGUUGCAGACAAGGCUCGGAUCCUGCAUUGCUGUGGCUCUGGCGUAGGCUGGCGGCUACAGCUCUGAUUUGACCCCUGGCCUGGGAACCUCCAUAUGCC
rnacentral:lncRNA from 1 species